UACGAAGGGGGCUAGCGUUGCUCGGAAUUACUGGGCGUAAAGCGCACGUAGGCGGCUUUCUAAGUCGGGGGUGAAAUCCUGGAGCUCAACUCCAGAACUGCCUUCGAUACUGGAGAGCUCGAGUCCGGGAGAGGUGAGUGGAACUGCGAAGUGUAGAGGUGAAAUUCGUAGAUAUUCGCAAGAACACCAGUGGCGAAGGCGGCUCACUGGCCCGGUACUGACGCUGAGGUGCGAAAGCGUGGGGAGCAAACAGGG
rnacentral:rRNA from 1 species